GGCUUUGCUCAGUGGCAGUAUCGUAGCCAAUGAGGUUUAUCCGAGGCAUGAUUAUUGCUAAUUGAAACUUCUAAUAUAUAAAGUAAGAUAUAGAAAUGAUGUAUAAGUAAUCUAAUAUAGGGAUUUAUAAUAGCUUUGUA